AGGGGGAUCGUAAGCAGCAGCUUUGCCCGAAGGUCUCACUUCGGCUGCGGAAAUCAGAGAAUAGUUCCAGUCAGUCGAGUGUGGAAGGAACCGAACACUCGGCUCCGUGGCGGGGGCGCUGGAAAUAGAUGGACCUGAGUCCGCACAAGCGCGGGUGGCGGCGGUGCGGAACUGCCGGCGCCGGCUCCUGAGCCCCCCGUGGUUUCUUACUGCCCACCGUCGCCGGCAUGCGGGGUUUUGUUUCACUGUUGGUGAAUAAGACUUCUAGUCUGAUGGUCUAGGUCCCAGCCAUGCCCACUCCGUGGCUUCAGGCCAGGCACGAGCUGAUCUGUGAGUUUAGCCACAUGGAUGCAAGAUACUAGGGGUCUCCUGGAGGAACCCAGGCCAAUGGAGCUUUAUCAGGAGCCUGCCUUCUCUAAACAUGCAUUGUCACCAGGCCCUGCUUGCUGUCCUUGAAGCGUCUUGACAACUACGUUCUUGGCCCCUUGAGAUGGAGGACAUGCUACGGAGCAUCUCCUGCGGUGUUCCCGAGGGUAAAGUGACGUGCCCAGGGGCUGCCGCCAAGGGUGGAGCCCUGGCUUCUGCUUCUGUGACAGCUUUGGAUGAUGCUGGUGGGCGUUGGGCCCCGAAGGCCUCCCGGGUCAGACUUCACCUAGGAUGUCACUGGUGAGCAGCUCGGGACACCUGUACAGUGCUGGCGUGAGCCUCGCCCGUGCUCACGCUGUCACUUCAGUUUCUCAGGUGACCAGUGGGGGGAAAGAGUGACUAUCAACAUAUCACAAAGAUGUUCGCUUUGAAA